GACCCAGUGGUGAGGGGAAUCGCACCUGCAUUCCAUGAUUGUGUGUAUCGGUAUUAUAAGCAGGAGCUCCCGGUUCGAGUCCGGGUUGGGUCA